GGGGCUGACCGGUUUUGACAGCGUGUAGAAGUGGUGUGUAAGCGUGCAGAGCUUUGAGACAUAUGCUCUAUAAUAUCAGGUCUCGACCAAUUUAAAUGGCGAAAAUAACUACGCUCUUGCUGCUUAAUUGAAGUAUAGUAGAUUAGCUUAAUCGCUGCAACAGUUGCGGCGACAAGACAUCGCCCGACAGCCCUUUUUCCGAGGCGUGUCGAUAAGGCGGUGCUAAUAUAUCGGAGAUAGGGAAUCCGGUUCCUCGGAGGAUCCCCGAAAUCUUAGAGGAUAAGUCUGUAGUUGGUAGUUUCAGGCCUGCUACAGAACGAAAAACAACUUGAGACUACGCACGUAGAAAGCUCAUUAGUUCCACGUUUGGACGAGGGUUCAAAUCCCUCCAGCUCCACUA
rnacentral:tmRNA from 1 species